rnacentral:rRNA from 1 species
UGGGGAAUCUUGCACAAUGGGGGCAACCCUGAUGCAGCGACGCCGCGUGAGCGAUGAAGCCCUUCGGGGCGUAAAGCUCUUUCGACCGGAACGAUAAUGACGGUACCGGGAGAAGAAGCUGCGGCUAACUACGUGCCAGCAGCCGCGGUAAUACGUAGGCAGCAAGCGUUGUUCGGAGUUACUGGGCGUAAAGUGUGCGUAGGCGGUUUUCUAAGUUCGGUGUGAAAUCUCCCGGCUUAACUGGGAGGGUGCGCCGAAGACUGGGAAGCUGGAGUGUGGGAAAGGCAGGCGGAAUUCCUGGUGUAGCGGUGAAAUGCGUAGAUAUCAGGAGGAACACCGGCGGUGUAGACGGCUUGCUAGACCAUAACUGACGCUGAGGCACGAAAGCGUGGGUAGCAAACA